AUUGAACGCUGGCGGCAGGCCUAACACAUGCAAGUCGAGCGGAGCGGCGGACGGGUAAGUAAUGCCUAGGAAUCUGCCUGGUAGUGGUGGAUAACGUCCGGCAACGGGCGCUAAUACCGCAUACUAUCAGAUGAGCCUAGGUCGGAUUAGCUAGUUGGUGGGGUAAAGGCCUACCAAGGCGACGAUCCGUAACUGGUCUGAGAGGAGGAACAGUCACUCGGGAACUGAGACACGGUCCAGACUCCUCCGGGAGGCAGCAGGGGGAAAUAUUGGACAAUGGGCGAAAGCCUGAUGCAGCCAUGCGGCGUGUGUGAAGAAGGCCUUCGGAUUGUAAAGUACUUUAAGUUGGGAGGCGUUACCAACAGAAUAAGCACCGGCUAACUUCGUGCCAGCAGCCGCGGUAAUAC
rnacentral:rRNA from 1 species